GAUCCUGGCUCAGAAUCAACGCUGGCGGCGCGCCUAACACAUGCAAGUCGAACGAGAAAGGGGAGCAAUCCCUGAGUAAAGUGGCGUACGGGUGAGUAACACGUGGAUCAUCUACCCCUUAGUGAGGAAUAACCCUGGGAAACCGGGGCUAAUACCGCAUGAGCUCGAGAGAGGAAAGCAGCAAUGCGCUGAGGGAGGAGUCCGCGGCCGAUUAGCUAGUUGGCAGGGUAAAAGCCUACCAAGGCAAAGAUCGGUAGCCGGCCUGAGAGGGCACACGGCCACACUGGCACUGAAACACGGGCCAGACUCCUACGGGAGGC
rnacentral:rRNA from 1 species